GAAAAAGAAAAUUACUACUGUGAAGUGAAGUCUGAGCAACUGGGAAGAAAUGCAAGGUGAAAUGAAAUGGUGAAGGUGGUGACCAGAUGGAUAUAAACGGGCUGUGGAAAAAGAGAAUGCAUGGCCAAAAAUGGUGGUGCUCUCUGUCCAAAAACUGAGGCCCUAUGACCAUGAAUGAAGCCAGAGGGCAGGUAGGAAUAGAUCAUUUGCUCCAGAAGAAGCUGGUUGCCAUGUCUUGAGGACAGUAAACCCUCUGGGGAGGUUCCUGUGGUAAGGAACAAGGGCUCCUGGCAAUAGCCUCUGAGUGAGCCACCUUGAAAAUGGAUUGUCCAGCCCCAGUCAAGCUUUCAGAUGACUGUAGCUCCUGCCAAUGUCUUCACCACAACCUCAUGAGAUCCCAAGCUACAACCACUCAGUUAAGUUAUGCCAAAAUUCCUGAUUCACAGAAAUUGACAUACAGGAGAGGUCACAGUUAAGAUCUUGAUGUUCUAUCUUGACCCAUAAUAUAGGAACUUCAUCUUUUGGGAAGCACCAGGGAGAGCUGCCUGUGCCUGGCAGAAGCUGCCCAUGCCCCACUGAUACCCCACAGUACUUCCUGUUCUGCUUAGUACUCCUGCUUCUUUCUACAAACAACUGUGAUUCUCUACCUGGGAGCUUCCUCUGGCCACAGGAGCCUGCUCACCUGAUUGGGACACCCUAGCAGUACUGGCUCAUAGAUGGAAGGGACUUGCCUUGUCGCUGAUGAGACUUUCGACUUGGACUUUUGAGUCAAUGCUGGAAUGAGUUAAGACUUUGGGGAACUGUUGGAAGGGUGUGAUUGUGUUUUGAAUUGUGAGGACAUGAGAUUUUGAAGAGGCUAAUGGCAGCGUCCCCACCUAAAUCUCUUCUUGAAUUGUAGUUCCCAUAAUCCCCACGUGUCGUGGGGUGGAGCCGGUGGAGAUAAUUGAAUCAUGGGAACACUUUCCCCCAUGCUGUUAUUGUGAUUGUGAAUUCUCACGAGAUCUGAUGGUUGUAUAAACGCCUUCCCUCUUCGCUGGGCACUCAUUUUUCUCCUUCCUGCCACCAUGUGAAGAAGGAUAUGCUUGCUUCUUGUGCCAUGAUUGUAAGUUUCCUGAGGCCUCCCCAGCCAUGCUGAACUGUGAGUCAAUUGAACCUCUUUCCUUUAUAAAUUACCUAGUCUUGGAUAUGUUUUUAUUAGCAGUGUGAGACAGGACUAAUACACAAAGGAUUUGAAAUCACAAAGGAGCUGUUUUCUGCUCCACCAUGGAAGUCUCACAUGCAUCACAUCUAUUCAUAUCCAUUUGCCACAACUAGACAAAAAGUCCUUUUUAAAAUCUGCCUAGAGAUCAGGAAGUAUUAUCUCUGGAUGCCUAGGCAGGAGAGGUGAAUCAGAUAUUGGUGGGCACUAGUGUGUUCUAUGAUACAUAGCUUAAUAAAAAUAAGUUUCAGAUAAAUCUAAAUAUACAUUAGAAUACUGUAACCACAGUAGAAAAAAAUAUUGGCUCCUUUUUGUGAUAAACUAAUGAUGGUAAAUGCACCCUAUUUAAGCAAGAAAAGAAACUGAUCUGCCAUAAAGAAAACAAUGACAUAUUUAACUACAAAAUAUGUUACAAAAUAUUAAUAUCCCUAAUGGACAAAUGAGUUCCAAUAAAUGGAUAACAAAAAACCAAUAAGUCUGUAGAAAAAUGGAGAAAAUAUAUUUGCAGAAUAUUUAUACAGGUGGUAAUGAAAUUGACAAUGAUGUUUAUCAUCAGCAGUAAACAGUAAAAAGUUUCACCCACCAGGACUAUAGAAAUUUUUCAAAUGGAUAAUUUUCAGAAUCAGCAAAGUUAUAGAAAAGUAGGUACCAGUUGCACAUACCAUUGGAGGAAAUGUAAAAUAUAGUUACCUUGUGGAAAGUAAUCUGAUGUAAUAUAUUAAAAUUUUAUCCAUGUAUGUCCUAUAAUUCAGCAAUUCCAUGUUGGGGAAUCCAUACAAAGAAAUACUUAUACACAUGCAGAAGGAGCUAAGUUUAAGAAAGCACACAUUUCAGCGGGUUGUGGUGUCUCACCCCUGUAAUCCCAGCACAUUGGGAGGCCGAGGUUGGUGGAUCACCUGAGGUCAGGAGUUUGAGACCAGCCUGGCCAACAUGGUGAAACCCUGUCUCUACUAAAAAUACAAAAAAUUAGCUGGUGUGGCAGUGGGUGCCUGCAGCUACUCAGGAGGCUGAGGCAGGAGAAUCGCUUGAACCUGGGAGGUGGAGGUUGCAGUGAGCUGAGAUCACACCACUGCACUCCAGCCUGGGUGACAAGAGCGAAAUUCCAUCUC
rnacentral:lncRNA from 1 species